rnacentral:rRNA from 1 species
GACAGAGGUGCCGAGCGUUAGGCGGAAUCACUGGGCUUAAAGCGUGUGUAGGCGGGGCGUUAAGUGUCUUGUGAAAUCCCACCGCUCAACGGUGGAACUGCUGGGCAUACUGGCGAUCUUGAGCCACCUAGGGGCAGACGGAACAAGCGGUGGAGCGGUGAAAUGCGUAGAUAUCGCUUGGAACGCCGACGGUGAAAACAGUCUGCUGGGGGUGUGCUGACGCUGAGACACGAAAGCCAGGGGAGCAAACGGG